rnacentral:rRNA from 1 species
AGAGUUUGACUCCUGGCUCAGGACGACGCUGGCGGCGUGCCUAACACAUGCAAGUCGAGCGAGUGGAGUUCUUCGGAACAAAGCUAGCGGCGGACGGGUGAGUAACACGUGGGCAACCUGCCUCAUAGAGGGGAAUAGCCUUCCGAAAGGGAGAUUAAUACCGCAUAAGAUUGUAGCUUCGCAUGAAGUAGCAAUUAAAGGAGCAAUCCGCUAUGAGAUGGGCCCGCGGCGCAUUAGCUAGUUGGUGAGGUAACGGCUCACCAAGGCGACGAUGCGUAGCCGACCUGAGAGGGUGAUCGGCCACAUUGGGACUGAGACACGGCCCAGACUCCUACGGGAGGCAGCAGUGGGGAAUAUUGCACAAUGGGGGAAACCCUGAUGCAGCAACGCCGCGUGAGUGAUGACGGCCUUCGGGUUGUAAAGCUCUGUCUUCAGGGACGAUAAUGACGGUACCUGAGAAGGAAGCCACGGCUAACUACGUG